rnacentral:rRNA from 1 species
GAUGAACGCUAGCGGCGCGCCUUAUGCAUGCAAGUCGUACGGUUUAUCGCAAGAUAGACAGUGGCAAACGGGUGAGUAAUAGUUAGGUAACCUGCCUUUAAGUGGGGGAUAACACUUCGAAAGAAGUGCUAAUACCGCAUGUGGUGCUCUUUCAUAAGAAGGAUCACUAAAACCGCAAGGUGCUUGAAGAGGGGCCUGACCCCGAUUAGCUAGUUGGUGAGGUAACGGCCCACCAAGGCUGGGAUCGGUAGCUGGUCUGAGAGGAUGGUCAGCCACACUGGGACUGAGACACGGCCCAGACUCCUACGGGUGGCAG